rnacentral:rRNA from 2 species
CUGGUGUCAGCCGCCGCGGUAAUACCAGCUCCCCGAGUGGUUAGGAUGUUUAUUGGGCCUAAAGCAUCCGUAGCCGGUCUUGUAGGUCUUCUGUUAAAUCCACCAGCUCAACUGUUGGGCCGCAGAAGAUACCGCAGGACUAGGAGGCGGGAGAGGUGGACGGUACUUUAUAGGUAGGGGUAAAAUCUUUUGAUCCAUAGAAGACCACCAGUGGCGAAGGCGGUCCACCAGAACGCGCUCGACGGUGAGGGAUGAAAGCUGGGGGAGCGAACCGGAUUAGAUACCCGGGUAGUCCCAGCUGUAAACGAUGCGAGCUAGGUGAUGGGGUGGCUGCGAGCCAUCCCAGUGCCCCAGGGAAGCCGUUAAGCUCGCCGCCUGGGAAGUACGACCGCAAGGUUGAAACUUAAAG